rnacentral:rRNA from 1 species
AUUGAACGCUGGCGGCAUGCCUAACACAUGCAAGUCGAACGUGAAAGAGGGGCAACUCUCGAGUAAAGUGGCGGACGGGUGAGUAAUACGUAGGAAUCUGCCCUAGAGUGGGGGAUAACCUGCCGAAAGGCGGGCUAAUACCGCAUAAUCUCUAUGGAGAAAAGGUGUCCCGGUCAAACGGGAUUUCGCUUUAGGAUGAGCCGACGUCGGAUUAGCUAGUUGGUAGGGUAAAAGCCUACCAAGGCGACAAUCCGUAGCUGGUCUGAGAGGACGAUCAGCCACACUGGAACUGAGACACGGUCCAGACUCCUACGGGAGGCAGCAGUGGGGAAUAUUGGACAAUGGGGGAAACCCUGAUCCAGCAAUGCCGCGUGUGCGAUGAAGGCCUGCGGGUUGUAAAGCACUUUCGGUGAGGAAGAAACGCUCAAAUAUAAUACAUUUGAGAACUGACGUUACUCACAGAAGAAGCACCGGCAAACUCUGUGCCAGCCGCCGCCGUAA